rnacentral:rRNA from 1 species
GACGAUCGCUGGCGGCGUGCUUAACACAUGCAAGUCGAACGGAAAGGCCCUGCUUUUGUGGGGUGCUCGAGUGGCGAACGGGUGAGUAACACGUGAGUAACCUGCCCUUGACUUUGGGAUAACUUCAGGAAACUGGGGCUAAUACCGGAUAGGAGCUCCUGCUGCAUGGUGGGGGUUGGAAAGUUUCGGCGGUUGGGGAUGGACUCGCGGCUUAUCAGCUUGUUGGUGGGGUAGUGGCUUACCAAGGCUUUGACGGGUAGCCGGCCUGAGAGGGUGGCCGGCCACAUUGGGACUGAGAUACGGCCCAGACUCCUACGGGAGGCAGCAGUGGGGAAUAUUGCACAAUGGGCGGAAGCCUGAUGCAGCAACGCCGCGUGCGGGAUGACGGCCUUCGGGUUGUAAACCGCUUUCGCCUGUGACGAAGCGUGAGUGACGGUAAUGGGUAAAGAAGCACCGGCUAACUACGUG